rnacentral:rRNA from 1 species
AGUGGCGGACGGGUGAGUAACGCGUGAGAAUCUGCCUUGGGGUCGGGGACAACCACUGGAAACGGUGGCUAAUACCGGAUAAGCCGAUUGGUGAAAGAUUUAUUGCCCGAAGAGGAGCUCGCGUCUGAUUAGCUAGUUGGUGAGGUAAGAGCUCACCAAGGCAGCGAUCAGUAGCUGGUCUGAGAGGACGAUCAGCCACACUGGGACUGAGACACGGCCCAGACUCCUUCGGGAGGCAGCAGUGGGGAAUUUUCCGCAAUGGGCGAAAGCCUGACGGAGCAAGACCGCGUGAGGGAGGAAGGCUCUUGGGUUGUAAACCUCUUUUCUCAGGGAAGAAGCUCUGACGGUACCUGAGGAAUCAGCCUCGGCUAACUCCGUGCCAGCAGCCGCGGUAAUACGGAGGAGGCAAGCGUUAUCCGGAAUUAUUGGGCGUAAAGCGUCCGCAGGUGGCGAUUCAAGUCUGCUGUCAAAGCACGGGGCUUAACUCCGUAAAGGCAGUGGAAACUGAAUAGCUAGAGUGCCGUAGGGGUAGAGGGAAUUCCCGGUGUAGCGGUGAAAUGCGUAGAGAUCGGGAAGAACAUCGGUGGCGAAAGCGCUCUACUGGACGGCAACUGACACUCAGGGACGAAAGCUAGGGGAGCGAAUGGGAUUAGAUACCCC